CCUACGGGUGGCAGCAGUGAGGAAUAUUGGUCAAUGGUCGGGAGACUGAACCAGCCAAGCCGCGUGAGGGAUGAAGGUACAGAGUAUCGUAAACCUCUUUUGUCAGGGAACAAAGGCGGGGACGUGUCCCCGGAUGAGUGUACCUGAAGAAAAAGCAUCGGCUAACUCCGUGACAGCAGCCGCGGUAAGACGGAGGAUGCGAGCGUUAUCCGGAUUUAUGGGGUUUAAAGGGUGCGCAGGCGGUCUGUUAAGUCAGCGGUCAAAGCCCGGGGCUCAACCCCGGCCCGCCGUUGAACCUGGCAGUCUCGAGUUGGAGAGAAGUAUGCGGAAUGCGCGGUGUCGCGGUGAACUGCAUAGCUAUCGCGCAGAACUCCGAUUGCGAAGGCAGCAUGCCGGCUCCACACUGACGCUGAGGCACGAAAGCGUGGGUAUCGAACAGGAUUAGAUACCCCUGUAGUC
rnacentral:rRNA from 1 species